rnacentral:rRNA from 1 species
GACGGAGCAACGCCGCGUGAGUGACGAAGGCCUUCGGGUCGUAAAGCUCUGUUGUUAGGGAAGAACAAGUACCGUUCGAAUAGGGCGGUACCUUGACGGUACCUAACCAGAAAGCCACGGCUAACUACGUGCCAGCAGCCGCGGUAAUACGUAGGUGGCAAGCGUUGUCCGGAAUUAUUGGGCGUAAAGCGCGCGCAGGCGGUCUCUUAAGUCUGAUGUGAAAGCCCACGGCUCAACCGUGGAGGGCCAUUGGAAACUGGGGGACUUGAGUGCAGAAGAGGAGAGUGGAAUUCCACGUGUAGCGGUGAAAUGCGUAGAUAUGUGGAGGAACACCAGUGGCGAAGGCGGCUCUCUGGUCUGUAACUGACGCUGAGGCGCGAAAGCGUGGGGAGCAAACAGGAUUAGAUACCCUGGUAGUCCACGCCGUAAACGAUGAGUGCUAGGUGUUGGGGGGUUCCACCCUCAGUGCUGAAGUUAACACAUUAAGCACUCCGCCUGGGGAGUACGACCGCAAGGUUGAAACUCAAAGGAAUUGACGGGGGCCCGCACAAGCAGUGGAGCAUGUGGUUUAAUUCGAAGCAACGCGAAGAACCUUACCAGGUCUUGACAUCCUCUGCCACUCCUAGAGAUAGGACGUUCC